AUGGCAGAUGAGAGGAGCCGUCUUCGCUCUUACUCCAUUACAGCCGCCUGCCUUCAUGCCUCGGGAGCCGGCAGCGCUCAGCGGACACGGGGGAAGCGCCUGGCUCUGCCUCCCAGCCCCGCGGCAUCUCCCCCCCGGGGAGGACGGCGGCACGCUCCCGACCCCGCUGGGAACCGGGCUAUUUCCCACGCAGCUUCACGACAUCGAAGAAAGCGCCCGGUUGGGAAGGGAACAUAUCCAGACGCGCCCACAGCGGUGUCAGUCAGCGCGGGCCCUGCGGGCUGGCCGGGGCACGGCGAGCGAGCUAGGCGCUCACGGCGGCGGCGCGUCCCAUCCCGGCAAAGGUCUCUGUCCUCCGGCCGCCCCUCCUCGCUGCCUCACGCUCCGGGGAAGGCGGCGGCGAGGCCCCCUGUUCUCACGGCGAGGGCUGCGGCUGCAUCCCGGCCCAUCUGCCUCCCGCGCCGGGCGGGCUCCUCCGCGCUGCCCCGGCCCCCGCCGCAGCACCGUCACCACCCCCGGCCACCCCGACAAAGGUGGGGCCCGGGGCGGCGAGGCCCCUCCUCGGCGGCUCCAGCUGCGAGCGCACCCGGCUGCUCUCCGCGGGCGAAGGCCCUUCCCGUCCUCCGCCUCCCGCCCCGAGUUUCCACAGCGCCGGGCAGCCUAGCCCGGCCUCCUCACGCCGGUCUCCGCUCAGCCCCUCCGCGGUGCCAGCGCCUUCCUCCCCCCGCGCCGGGCUCGCCGGCGAGGGGCCGCUCCGCCUCCUUCCCCUGCCCGCCGCCGGCUGCGGGCGGGAGCCGAGCGAGGGCCGAAGCUCCGCCGCCCGCGCCCCCUCUCGCCCGCCCGCCCCAACAGCACGGGCGGCUCCAGACACAAAGGGGAGUCGCUGCAGCCGCCGGCCCGGGCGCCCGUCCCGCCGCACCGCCCCCGCCGCCCGGCUCCGCCCCGCACCAUAGAGGUGGCUCCAGGAUGGAAAAGCCCUAUUCGCAAUGGUCAGCCUGUCCUGACAAGAUAUGA
rnacentral:lncRNA from 1 species